GAUGAAGAACGUAGCGAAAUGCGAUACGUAAUGUGAAUUGCAGAAUUCAGUGAAACAUCGAGUCUUUGAACGCACAUUGCGCCCCCUGGUAUUCCGGGGGGCAUGCCUGUCCGAGCGUCAUUGCUGCCCUCAAGCACGGCUUGUGUGUUGGGCCUCCGUCCUCCUCCCAGGGGACGGGCCCGAAAGGCAGCGGCGGCACCGCGUCCGGUCCUCGAGCGUAUGGGGCUUCGUCACCCGCUCUUGUAGGCCCGGCCGGCGCUUGCCGACACAUCAAUCUUUUUUCCAGGUUGACCUCGGAUCAGGUAGGGAUACCCGCUGAACUUAAGCAUAUCAAUAAGCGGAGGA
rnacentral:misc_RNA from 1 species